GUCCCGUCUGAUUGCAAAACUGCUGAGCAUUGUCAGUCCUUCUGAUUCAGUACCUAUCCUCAUGCCUUGCAGCUCUAGAUCAGUCUGCUAAACAGUCGUCGUUUCAGGAUCGUGAAUAAGCAGACACUGCAAAGAUUGUUCUGGCCACAGGGAAGCUUCUGAAGGAAAUCAGAAGGUAACUUGUUUUGAGAUAAGAAUUCUUUUUUUGUUGGUUUUGUUUGUUUGUUUGUUUGCUUGCUUGCUUCUUGUCUUCAUGCUCACCUUUAAAGUUCUUCAUCUGCUAUGGGCAGCAAGUGUGAACCAUGUCUGAAAAACU
rnacentral:lncRNA from 1 species